rnacentral:rRNA from 1 species
CUAUAAUCGUUUUAAUCGAUGGGGGGACGCAGUAGGAUAGGCGAAGCGUACGAUUGGAUUGUACGUCUAAGCAGUGAGAUUGAGUGUUAGGCAAAUCCGGCACUCUUAAGAUUGAGCUGUGAUGGGGAGAGGAAAUUGUUUCCUCGAGUCGUUGAUUUCACACUGCCGAGAAAAGCCUCUAGAUAGAGAUUAGGUGCCCGUACCGCAAACCGACACAGGUAGUCAAGAUGAGAAUUCUAAGGUGAGCGAGCGAACUCUCGUUAAGGAACUCGGCAAAAUGACCCCGUAACUUCGGGAGAAGGGGUGCUCUUUAGGGUGCAAGCCCAGAAGAGCCGCAGUGAAUAGGCCCAAGCGACUGUUUAUCAAAAACACAGGUCUCUGCUAAACCGUAAGGUGAUGUAUAGGGGCUGACGCCUGCCCGGUGCUGGAAGGUUAAGAGGAGUG